CGCACCUUGCGCUCCUUGGUAUUCCGAGGAGCAUGCCUGUUUGAGUGUCAUGAAAUCAUCAACCCUCGAGCGAUCGAGUGGAUUGGACUUGGGGGACUCUGUCGGACUUCAUUGGUCGACUCCCCUUAAAGGCAUUAGCUGGCUUUGUGGGGCUUACGCGGUGUGAUAGUAUUAUUCACCUCCGUAGGGCUUACUUAACGGUUCGGCUCGAUAACAAACCCCUCUGACAAAUUUGGCCUCAAAUCAGGUAGGACUACCCGCUGAACUUAA
rnacentral:misc_RNA from 1 species